GGGGGUAAAAAUUAGGGAAAUGAAUGUGUGCUUGAAAUUAAUAUGAAUUCAGAUGAAAAAAACAGCUAAAUUGGGGAGGGGGGGAAUUGGGCUCUAUUACUGUAACGAACUGCGCACUGUUUGGUACAAACUGUGAUGUAAUUGCGUUUACUGCCGAAGAAGCUGGUGUGCAUUGCUAUAGACAUUUCAGUAAGGGCAAUUUGCUCGGUAAAAGUCAGACUUCACCCUCAAGAGGCAACUUUCAAUUAAGGGGAACAUUAGAAUGAAUCCGUAAACUUUGGGCUCUGAUUUAUUUUGCAGAAAGAGGUAGUAUAGUGCUGAAGAGGGUUAACACUAGUUUAUUAACAGUUGUCCCUCUUGAAAGUAAUUACUACAGGAAAGUAACAUGGUACAAGUAACGAAGAUUGACACAAAUGUGUCAGAUGUAUACUAGGUGCUUCAUAAAGGUCCUCCGGCUGAAUAGUUCAUAAACAAGGUGGUGCUACCAAAAAGCUUUCAUUUCACUGAUCAUUCCUGAGGUGUUGGCCAAGAACUCAGCAGUGGGAGAGUCAUUUGCAUGCUCUCAUUGAUUGAAUAAAGCUCGUUUUAAACUUUUAAGCUUGUUAACUUUUUACUGUGGAUGCCUUCAGUAAUUCUGUUUUAUUGAUUUGAACCUUCAGCAAAAACUGUUCCAGACAAAGAAACACAGCAUUUAUAUUUUAAUGAUUUCUAGUUAAUUGGUUUCGGCGUACAUAUUUCUUGGACGGAGCAGUGUAUCGAUGCGCUCUUACACUUAGCUAUGAGGCCGCCAAAGAAAGCUUUCUGAUAGCAUCACCUGUUUAUGAAUUAUUCUGCUGGGGGACCAUAGUGAAACAGCAGCUACACCUGGGCUCUGACUUUCUGUGCCAGUACAAAAUUUCAGAAAAUCACCUUAAGAAAAUGCAGAACAAGGCAUAUGCCAGCUAAAAUUGUGUAUACGUAAAACUAAAAAGUAAGAUAAUCUCUUGUACUUAUUAAAUAUGAAAAUUGGAAUCACUUAGGAAGUGAACGUGAGUAGUCACUGAUUGUUAAAAACUAUAAUUCUUGACAACCUCUUACGCAGACGUGGCCUUGCAGUCACCUUCUCCGUGUACUGUUUGGCAAUGUGAUAAAGUCUUAUCUUCCCAUAACAGUCUGCAACGUGUUUUGCAAGGCGAAUGACAUGGUUUUCGUCUGGACUGCACUCAAACAUGUGCUGGCUCAAAGUAGGAAAAAUGUCCAGUCUUGCAGACGUGCACAGAAUGUCCUGCAAGACGGCCCUUGUGAGAAGCUGCCCAAGCUGAGCAUUGGAUGUCAAGAUUCCUUCUGAGAUAUGAAGCAUUUGACGAACACGUUUUUCUGUUGUUUUACAAAUGGCGAUGACACUCUGAGACGCACUAAUCAGACCACCUCGACUCUUCCGACGAAGAAGAGCACUGUGUAGAGUUCUGUCUGUGAGAGCGUCGAUGCAGUCAGCACAGGAGAUCUUCCUUGUCACCAUCUUGACAACGUACCCCGCGAUGUACCCCACAACAUCUUCAACAAAGGCUGACAGUUGCUCUGUAUCAGGUACAUCUGCGUAGUCGUGGUCUUCAACACAUUCACUCUGUGCAGUACCAAAAUAGCGGGAUGCAUGAAUGUCAAGUUCGUCAAGGGAAGUAGCUCCUGCUGCUGCUGCUGCUGUCACAGUCAGUAUGCGUGUGGAGUCUUGGGCGAUACAAUUACCUCGUGCUGUAGGCUCGAUUUCAUGGUGAACAAGGAGCCUCUUGUAUGCAGCCAUGAAGUGUCCUGCCGUCGGGUUGUUGCACCACCCACCUUUACCCCUCAACGCACAAAAGAAAAGUUCGAGGUGGUCUUGAGAGAGUUUGUAUGUGAGCAGGUACCUUAAGAGUGCAUUAUCUCCUGAAAGAAGAUGGCUGCAUAGGCUUUGAAUGCUUGCCAUGUUGAUGAGGAAUCCAAGGAAGCCUGUUUUUCGUGGGGUUUCUAAUAUUGGCCUUCCAGAUGCAUCUUUCAGGUUGCCAAUAUACGCAGUCAUCUCGUUGAAGAAUGGAAUCCAAAGGUGGCGGGUUGGAUAACGGAUGGGUGCUUUGAAGUUCUUUGCCAGGGGAUUGCGGGAGUUCAUGAUGUCGAACAGACGAUCGAACUUCCUGAGGAAUUCCACUGUUGCCUCACAUCCAUGAAACAUUGGAUUGUUUAUGUCCCUGUCACAGAACUCCAGAGCAUCCGCCACACUUGAGCUGAGUGUCUGAGCUGCCAAAUUCACCUUCAUCUUCUGACUUCCCCAGUCAAUGUGGGCAGCCUUGAGCUUGUUUCCAGCAUGAAGCCCUUCCGAUUGCUGCAGAUUUUGGAGGGAUACGAGGUAGGCCCACUUUAUUGUGCCUCCAUUGCUGUCUUUCAGGGUCCCCAUUGUUGCCAGGGCAUUACGAAUCAGCUUCAGCAUGUGGCAAGCAUCGAGGAUUACAUGAACUCUCCAGGAAGAAUCAGAAGGGUGCUGAAACCAUGGCCUGAUGUCGGGGCUUUUCAUGUUUGCACCAAGGUCUUGAAACAUGGCUGUUGAUCAGAAAGUAUGCACAUGGCACUUUCCAGUUACUGUCCAAAGCAACCACAAGGAAUACAAGAGCUUGUGUAGCUGGUUCCUGACUGUCGUCAUCAAUGCCAGUACCUAAGUUUAUGAAGCCAUUAAAGGACUGUCCUGUGAACUGAAUCUGCUUCUUUAUGCUCAUUUCAUCGAGCAUGAGUGAACACACGACACGUUUAGAUAACUUCCGCUGCUCUUCUACUCUUACUUUCAAGGCAUCAAAGGCUUCGUGUGUAAAUCCUGGCUCACCAUGGAUUGCACUGUACCAUGACCUGAUUGUUGCCUGGUGCGGAAGUGCCAAAUUGAAUGUCUUUCUCACAUACUCGUACGCCUUCGUGGAGUAGAACUGCAGUGUGAGAGCAAAACUACGUAGGGAUGGGGGGUACUGCUCCCUGCUGAUCUUCCCAUGUUUGUUGUGUAUAGUACGUAGCACCAAAUCCAACUGCACGCCUGAAAGGGAGCCACGGAGAAUGUCGCUGCACUGCUUUGAAACCAGUGACUUUUUCUGGAGGUCUUCAAUCACACUUUCUGCAGUUACCACCUUUUUCUUUAGUCUCAAAUUCUUCUGGUGUGUAUGCUUCACUUUUUUGCUUGCACCUUCUAGUGCCUCAACUGCGACGUUCACCUUCAGUUUUAAUGUACGAGGACUUUCCUGCACUACGUAUGUAUGGUCAGCUGCAAGACUACAUGAGGCUUGUGACACUUCUGAUGACGGCCCUGGUGUGCCCCAAGAUGGUCCUGGCUGUGACGUGCUACCGAUGGUAUCCUGCUCUACUUUAUGUCUAGUGGCAGGGGGCUUUCUUGGUUGUGCAUUCUGUGUAACAAAGAUGUAACGAAAUAUGCAUUCGUCAAUAAGUUCCAAGAUGUUAUGUCUGAAGAACAGAGACAAUAAACGGUUUUAAGUUCA